rnacentral:lncRNA from 1 species
CCUGCACUCCUAGGGCCGAUCUAGGUUAGUUUCGAAACUCCUUGUCAUUUUCUUGUCCUUUCUUCUUCGUAUUCUAUUCGUUUAGCUUCCUUGAGGGUCUGUUUGUUAUUUUUCCUAAUUUUUUCAAGAUUUUGUAGCUUCCAUUUGAUCCAAAAUAUCUUUUGAUAUCUCCUCUUCUAGCAGUUCUAGGAGUUCGUCAGCCCCAGUUCCCCAAAGUCCUGGUACCAUAGACGAACCCGUAGCUAGGAUUGAACCUUGUCUGGCUUUUGCACUGGACACCAUCCCCGGCUCCUUGACUUCGAAUGAACUCUCAUUGAUAAGGAUUCAGUAUGGAGUUCCUCCGGAGUACGAGCUGGAGCUUCCCGGGCCAAC